AUACAGAGGGUGCAAGCGUUAAUCGGAAUUACUGGGCGUAAAGCGCGCGUAGGCGGUUUAAUCAGUCGGAUGUGAAAGCCCCGGGCUCAACCUGGGAACUGCAUUCGAUACUGUUAAGCUAGAGUAUGGUAGAGGGAAGUGGAAUUCCAGGUGUAGCGGUGAAAUGCGUAGAUAUCUGGAGGAACAUCAGUGGCGAAGGCGACUACCUGGACCAAUACUGACGCUGAGGUGCGAAAGCGUGGGGAGCAAACAGGAUUAGAUACCCUAGUAGUCC
rnacentral:rRNA from 1 species